rnacentral:lncRNA from 1 species
CUGAACGACAAGGCGGAACCGUUUCUGUCUGUGUGUACAAAAUGUUUUUCCUUCACCGUUGAUAGUCGAGUCGUGACCGACAAGCGAACUGUGCUUGCAAACUUCCAAGACAGCAGGUACCUCAACCUAGCAGCAGUUAAUGCAUUUCGAAACAAAGAUGUAGCAAAAUGGACUCACACCUGCGUUGCUUUGCUUGUCGGUGGGCGUUGCCUGACGCUUUGCGAUGGCGUUACGUCAUAACAACAACAACCAAUCAGUUGUGUGCUCCGGAAACACGCGGCAUAUGCGGCUAUCAGGUAAAUACGCGGGAAAUACAUCCCACGACCAGAUGCACGCACACCGGAGUAAACAGCUGCCUCCUCUCUCCGCGCUCAUUUGAACGUUUCACGUCAAGGUUCGUGAAGAGCAUUAGCGUGAUUUGAUUGGUUAGCGCCCUGCGCUGGCGCCGUCUGUUCAAACGCGAUGUGAUUGGCUGCCUCCCCGCGCAGCCGUUUGAAAAGUUGAGGCGCGCAUUUAGCGCGAGCGCCGCCUUGUUGUUGUUGUUAGCACCGGUUAGCACCUGGAGCUAGCUAGCUAGCUAGCUAGCUAGCAGCGAGCGAGCUGAGUCACUCUGACAAGACUCGAAGCUUUUCCCAAAGAAAGAGAGUGAAGACGACAGGUGAAGGUGAAACGAGAGGAGAUGGAGUUUUAUCUCCCGUGUGGUUGAAGCAGCAGAGGAGUCAGGACGUGAGCACAAACUCGGGAACAAGGAUCCUUGGCAAUGGCUCAGAGGCAAAAUCCUAUAAUUAGAACACAGUUCACUCGGUUAGCAGGUAAUUUACCUUUAGGGGGAGAAGUCUAAUUAUUGUCUUUGAAAAGCUAAUUUAGCGUCAAACACUUCAGGUGUCUUUUCCCCUCUCUUCAGCAAAUGGAAGGUUUCCUGGAGCACCGGUGCCUCUGAGCCAUCUUUAGCGCCUGGCGCUGUUUCAUGUUUACACGGCUGAUUCCUAAAGACGAAAUUAGGAGCAAUAAGAGCAGAGCAAACCACCGUCUCCCUUUUGUUGGAUCCAGCAGCUGUUCCAGGUUGCCGGUGCCUGUCCACACCACUGUGAUGACGGAGAGAGAAAACAGCCCUGAUGUACGAUUCCUGGUCUGUCACGACAGGAUGUUUGAAGGAAAAUCUCGCAUUGUGCUGGAGCGGCCACUGACUGCCUCCCAUCAAGGACAGAGUCACCUUCCUCCGGAGGAGAAUCCAGUCCUCUGGGAGUCACUGUGGCUUGUGAGUCUACCGCCAGAACUAGGUCCUCUUCAAACUGUCAAUAACGUCUUGUGAGAAAAGGAUCCUCGGUGAUGGCUGAUGGAUACGCUCACACCUCCGAGAGAAGUGUGCCUGAAGCUCUCAGACACUGUGUCAGUAUUGAAAUGUUUCUGGGCUGUCACAUCUCACCACCUCCUUAGCCCUAAUGUGAUCGAUUGGGACCGACGCAGAGCCAUAACGUGCUCCUCUACAGAGCACUUUCAUAGUAACAUUUCAGGCCCAGUUGAACCUUACCUCCCCUGGGCCAUUAAAUGAAAAACUGGACCUCAAGUGGAUCUCUGAGUCUGGUCCAUCCCUGAGCUUACAGGCAAGUUAAUGACAGAAAUUGUACAUGUCAGUACUACCAGAGAGCCCAAGGAUUAAAUAAUGUGCAUGUAAUAGUGAGAUCUGAGGUCCUGGCCUGGAUGUGCUAAGAACAUUUGCAGUACCACUUUAAUGACCAAAAGGAAAGAGCCGAGUCUGAGACUCCUGCCUGGGAGGACAUGUCAGGCCUUUCAUGGGAACCAUUUUUAAUUGCAACCAAAAAAUGUCUAUUAGUGAAGUCCCUUAGGCAGAUACUGUAUCCAUUAUAGAGGUCAAACUUUCAGGUUGGAAAAUAUCAUUAGAUAGAUUUUAUCAAUAUAUCAUUAUUGUUAUUAUUAUCAUUUAACUACUUAUGUACUCGUACUAUACUAUUGUUCAGCAUUUUUCAGCCCAAAUAUUUGUGUAGUUGUUGCACUGCAGUCGUUUAUCUGACUAACCUCCUGAAAGCUUCUUCGAACUUAUUGCAGAAUAUAGAAUGAACUGUUUAUAAUCCAUCAUGGUGUAAUUUGUUUAUUUGUGUAUUAAUAGUUUGUCACAUUUCUUUUUAACCCAUAUCAUUCCAUUUUAUGUUCAGUCACCACAUCUUUUAAGGGGUAGUUUUAAAUCGCUUUGUCUUAUUUUAUUUUUUUAAAGUAACAUGUAGAAGUUAUCACACUCACACUCACCAAAUGUAGCUAAAAUCCGCUAGAGACAAAUGCUGUUGUUUUACGUUUUCAUGUGAGAUUUCUCCAACACUAUUAAAAACACUGAACGGUAAAACAAAUAUCAUUAAAUUCCACGAAUUUGAUUUGAAUUCUCACAUAGAUCUUGUUAUUACAUCCAUUUACGACAGACUAACUGGAACACACAAGAUGGCAUUAGCCCUGACAAUGGAAGCAGAUGGCCCGCGGGGCACGUUUGCCAGAUUUACGACUUAGAAAGAACUAACACGCACAAAUAAAUUUGGACAGUGUUGCUUCAACAUCUGAGAACACUGUUUAACUCAUCCCAUCUCAGGAAGUUUUCACACUUCACACUUCAUUAACCUCUGGGGCUCAGAUUCCCUGGGAAGUCGGGGAGGGAGAAUGCUUGACUUUUUCUUAUAAAUCACCACCAGGCAGUGACAACAUUUACAUGCACACAAUCUUCCAGAUAAUAGCUGAUAUUCUGGUUGAGGUGCCGUUUAUAUGCGCUUUCACGUCUCGAUCACAAAUAUCCAUGCACGUGUGCAUAAACAAAAAAUUCCAAACAGUGCUGCCAAAGGCGAGCUCGCACUAAUCGCAAAAAACAACAAUAAUUGGGAUGAGGUGAAGUUUGCUUGUCUGUGUCCCAGGUUAAACUGACACAUGCCAACUUCCAAAGCGUUUGUUUACACAGUAGUGUAACACUCGCAUGGAUCCCUGUUAAAUUGAUUUUCAUUUUUUGAGCACUGAUGGAACUGUGUACAGGCAGCUUUUGGGGCAACAAAACUCAACAGUAUCUAUUACAGAUAUGAAGUUUAGUUUGCCAAUAAAUGAAAAGAAUAUCAUGGGUAUCACAGUUAAAAUGUCAGUUUUCAUAGGGAAAAACAACCAACACCUUUCCUGUUUAUGUUCAUGUUAAGUUGAAUGGCUUUUUGCAGGUGUUAAUUAAAAAACAACAUCACAGAUCCACUACAUUCAUGUUAAUUGAAAAACAAGAUCACAGAUCCAACUAUUAAAGGUUGCAAUUUAAGACAGCUGAAAGCAAUAACACAGAAACGAUUGUAUCUGUACCUGAACGUAACUUCAACAUUUCAUAUUGAACUACAGCCCAGUCCUAAUAUGCCGUACCUGCGGGAUUGGCUGAAGGUUAAGUUGUGGAUAAAAAUAGCUUCCCUCUCAGCCGAGCAGAGCACCACACUGGAUAAAAGUCACAAUACCUCUUGCACUGACACCGAGCAUUGACACUAGAUGUCCCGUGGCAUCACUCAAGGAAUUUAGUAAAUUUUUAACAGUUUCUGCAAACCCCUGUUAUGUCCACUGGAAGUAAACUGUGCACUGCAGAUACAUUCAAUAUGAACGCAUGUCUUGGGAAUAGUAGGCUAGUUAUACUGACUGUUGCCCUAAACUGUUUCCAUAUCCCCAUAUAAGUGGAAAAUGUACAAACAAAAGUAUGUAACAGUAUACAAACAACAAAAGACUCGCUCUCAGCAGGGACAGCAUAAAACAUC